UACGGAGGGUGCGAGCGUUGUCCGGAAUUAUUGGGCGUAAAGAGCUCGUAGGCGGCUUGUUGCGUCGUCCGUGAAAUCCCGUGGCUCAACUGCGGGCUUGCGGACGAUACGGGCAGGCUAGAGUUCGGUAGGGGAGACUGGAAUUCCUGGUGUAGCGGUGAAAUGCGCAGAUAUCAGGAGGAACACCGGUGGCGAAGGCGGGUCUCUGGGCCGAUACUGACGCUGAGGAGCGAAAGCGUGGGGAGCGAACAGG
rnacentral:rRNA from 1 species